rnacentral:rRNA from 1 species
UACGUAGGGGGCAAGCGUUGUCCGGAUUUACUGGGCGUAAAGCGCACGUAGGCGGAUUGCUAAGUCAGGGGUGAAAUCCUGGAGCUCAACUCCAGAACUGCCUUUGAUACUGGCGACCUUGAGUCCGGGAGAGGUGAGUGGAACUGCGAGUGUAGAGGUGAAAUUCGUAGAUAUUCGCAAGAACACCAGUGGCGAAGGCGGCUCACUGGCCCGGUACUGACGCUGAGGUGCGAAAGCGUGGGGAGCAAACAGG